rnacentral:rRNA from 1 species
GAUGAACGCUGGCGGCGUGCCUAAUACAUGCAAGUCGAGCGAACAGACGAGGAGCUUGCUCCUCUAACGUUAGCGGCGGACGGGUGAGUAACACGUGGAUAACCUACCUAUAAGACUGGGAUAACUUCGGGAAACCGGAGCUAAUACCGGAUAAUAUAUUGAACCGCAUGGUUCAAUAGUGAAAGACGGUUUUGCUGUCACUUAUAGAUGGAUCCGCGCCGCAUUAGCUAGUUGGUAAGGUAACAGCUUACCAAGGCAACGAUGCGUAGCCGACCUGAGAGGGUGAUCGGCCACACUGGAACUGAGACACGGUCCAGACUCCUACGGGAGGCAGCAGUAGGGAAUCUUCCGCAAUGGGCGAAAGCCUGACGGAGCAACGCCGCGUGAGUGAUGAAGGUCUUCGGAUCGUAAAACUCUGUUAUUAGGGAAGAACAAAUGUGUAAGUAACUAUGCACGUCUUGACGGUACCUAAUCAGAGAGCCACGGCUAACUACGUG